AAAAAGGGCUUCUGUCGUGAGUGGCACACGCAGGGUAACUCGAUUGCUCUGCGUGCGGAAUCGACAUCAAGAGAUUUCGGAAGCAUAAUUUUUUGGUAGUUGGGCAGCUGGUGAUCAAAAAAAAAAAAAAAAAAAAAGUGACCGA